rnacentral:lncRNA from 1 species
CCAGCAAGCAAGGACGACAGUGUUAGGAAACGAUCUAGGAUGUGAUAUGGGUGUGGCACUGUGGAUCAAAGAGAAGGACUCGGAUCUGGAUCAGCCCCAAGGAUGAUUCCGAGGAUGUUAACAGAGGCCUCCUUUCAGUCCAAGUAUGUGCCGGAUUUGACUCCAGACCAAACAUCCUCAUGCAUGAAAAAGAAGCCACGUCUAGAGCCAACAACCUCCAGAAGCAAAAAGAAGAGCUGUAAAGUCUAUCUCAUUAGCCCAGCCUGCUUUGCUUCUCUCUGGUGAGACCCAGGUUACACACUCUCCCGUAAACGCAUUCACAGCAAUGAGAAAGGAACCAAGCUUUCCCUCGGGCUGUGGUUUCUUCACUGAGUCUUGUGAAUAAAGUAUAGGCGUCAGAGUAAAACCUGAGCCAUGACCUCAAGGAAGAAAAAGAGCAGCAUGUGGGGCC